rnacentral:rRNA from 1 species
CGGUGAACCCGCUUCGGUGGGGGAUCAGUGGCGAACGGGUGAGUAACACGUGGGCAACCUGCCCCCGGCUCUGGGAUAACCCCAAGAAAUUGGGGCUAAUACCGGAUGUCCUCUGCUGGUCGCAUGGCCGGUGGUGGAAAGAUUUAUCGGCUGGGGAUGGGCCCGCGGCCUAUCAGCUUGUUGGUGGGGUAGUGGCCUACCAAGGCGACGACGGGUAGCCGGCCUGAGAGGGUGACCGGCCACACUGGGACUGAGACACGGCCCAGACUCCUACGGGAGGCAGCAGUGGGGAAUAUUGCGCAAUGGGCGGAAGCCUGACGCAGCGACGCCGCGUGGGGGAUGACGGCCUUCGGGUUGUAAACCUCUUUCAGCAGGGACGAAGCCCUUGCGGGUGACGGUACCUGCAGAAGAAGCACCGGCCAACUACGUGCCAGCAGCCGCGGUAAUACGUAGGGUGCAAGCGUUGUCCGGAAUUAUUGGGCGUAAAGAGCUCGUAGGCGGUUUGUCGCGUCGGCUGUGAAAACCCGGAGCUCAACUCCGGGCCUGCAGUCGAUACGGGCAGACUUGAGUGUUGCAGGGGAGACUGGAAUUCCUGGUGUAGCGGUGAAAUGCGCAGAUAUCAGGAGGAACACCGGUGGCGAAGGCGGGUCUCUGGGCAACAACUGACGCUGAGGAGCGAAAGCGUGGGGAGCGAACAGGAUUAGAUACCCUGGUAGUCCACGCCGUAAACGUUGGGCGCUAGGUGUGGGGGCCAUUCCACGGUCUCCGUGCCGCAGCUAACGCAUUAAGCGCCCCGCCUGGGGAGUAC